rnacentral:rRNA from 1 species
GUACGGGAGGCAGCAGUGGGGAAUUUUGCGCAAUGGGCGAAAGCCUGACGCAGCAACGCCGCGUGAGGGACGAAGGCCUUCGGGUUGUAAACCUCUUUUAAUCGGGAAGAACCCUGGCUCGGUAAAUAAUCGAGUCAGCUGACGGUACCGAUAGAAUAAGCCACGGCUAACUCUGUGCCAGCAGCCGCGGUAAGACAGAGGUGGCAAGCGUUGUUCGGAUUUAUUGGGCGUAAAGAGCGCGUAGGCGGUCCUGUAAGUCGGUGGUGAAAUCCCGGGGCUUAACCCCGGAACUGCCUCCGAUACUGCUGGACUUGAGUGCGGGAGAGGGUAGUGGAAUUCCCAGUGUAGAGGUGAAAUUCGUAGAUAUUGGGAAGAACACCAGUGGCGAAGGCAGCUACCUGGACCGCAACUGACGCUGAGGCGCGAAAGCGUGGGGAGCAAACAGGAUUAGAUACCCCGGU